rnacentral:rRNA from 1 species
AUUGAACGCUGGCGGCAGGCCUAACACAUGCAAGUCGAACGGUAACAGGAAACAGCUUGCUGUUUCGCUGACGAGUGGCGGACGGGUGAGUAAUGUCUGGGAAACUGCCUGAUGGAGGGGGAUAACUACUGGAAACGGUAGCUAAUACCGCAUAACGUCGCAAGACCGAAGAGGGGGACCUUCGGGCCUCUUGCCAUCGGAUGUGCCCAGAUGGGAUUAGCUAGUAGGUGGGGUAACGGCUCACCUAGGCGACGAUCCCUAGCUGGUCUGAGAGGAUGACCAGCCACACUGGAACUGAGACACGGUCCAGACUCCUACGGGAGGCAGCAGCGGGGAAUAUUGCACAAUGGGCGCAAGCCUGAUGCAGCCAUGCCGCGUGUAUGAAGAAGGCCUUCGGGUUGUAAAGUACUUUCAGCGGGGAGGAAGGGAGUAAAGUUAAUACCUUUACUCAUUGACGUUACCCGCAGAAGAAGCACCGGCUAACUCCGUG